rnacentral:miRNA from 1 species
UGGGUACAAGGAAUCUACUUU